rnacentral:rRNA from 1 species
AUUGAACGCUGGCGGCAUGCUUUACACAUGCAAGUCGAACGGCAGCGCGGGGCAACCUGGCGGCGAGUGGCGAACGGGUGAGUAAUAUAUCGGAACGUACCCAGAAGUGGGGGAUAACGUAGCGAAAGUUACGCUAAUACCGCAUACGAUCUACGGAUGAAAGUGGGGGACCUUCGGGCCUCAUGCUUUUGGAGCGGCCGAUAUCUGAUUAGCUAGUAGGUAGGGUAAAGGCCUACCUAGGCGACGAUCAGUAGCUGGUCUGAGAGGACGACCAGCCACACUGGAACUGAGACACGGUCCAGACUCCUACGGGAGGCAGCAGUGGGGAAUUUUGGACAAUGGGCGCAAGCCUGAUCCAGCAAUGCCGCGUGAGUGAAGAAGGCCUUCGGGUUGUAAAGCUCUUUUGUUAGGGAAGAAACGGCUGCGGCUAAUAUCCGCGGCUAAUGACGGUACCUGAAGAAUAAGCACCGGCUAACUACGUGCCAGCCGCCGCGGUAACAC